GGAAGUACAAGUCGUAACAAGGUAUCCGUAGGUGAACCUGCGGAUGGAUCAUUACCAAAGGAAUGAAAAUUCUACGUUAUGUGAACAGUUUUGAGUUUGGGGGGAUAGUCAGUGGGCGGUUACUCCGCUGGCUGGCUCACCUCCACCAUUAAAUGUCUUCUACGUUCAAACUGAUGUCUACUUAGUUUCAGAACUAAAACACAACUUUUAGCAACGGAUCUCUUGGCUCUC
rnacentral:misc_RNA from 1 species